CAGUAGCCACGGUAAUACGGAGGGUGCAAGCGUUAAUCGGAAUUACUGGGCGUAAAGCGCACGCAGGCGGUCUGUCAAGUCAGAUGUGAAAUCCCCGGGCUCAACCUGGGAACUGCAUCCAAAACUGGCAAGCUAGAGUAUGGUAGAGGGUGGUGGAAUUUCCUGUGUAGCGGUGAAAUGCGUAGAUAUAGGAAGGAACACCAGUGGCGAAGGCGACCACCUGGACUGAUACUGACACUGAGGUGCGAAAGCGUGGGGAGCAAACAGGAUUAGAUACCCCAGUAGUCCCUGUCUCUUAUAC
rnacentral:rRNA from 1 species